rnacentral:rRNA from 1 species
GACGAACGCUGGCGGCGUGCCUAAUACAUGCAAGUAGGACGCAGUUGCGAACGGGUGAGUAACGCGUAGGUAACUAGCUAUCAGAGGGGGAUAACUACUGGAAACGAUAGCUAAUACCGCAUACUAGUAGAUGGACCUGCGUUGUAUUAGCUAGUAGGGAGGGUAAUGGCCUACCUAGGCAACGAUACAUAGCCGACCUGAGAGGGAGAACGGCCAAAACGGGAACUGGACACGGCCCCGAACUCUUCGGGAGGCAGCAGGAGGGGAUCUUCGGCAAAUGGGGGAACCCUGACCCAACAACGCCGCGUGAGUGAAGAAGGUUUUCGGAUCUUAAAGCUCUGUUGUUAAGGGAGCGGUACUUAACCAGAAAGGGACGGCUAACUACGUGCCAGCCGCCGCGGUAAUAC